rnacentral:rRNA from 1 species
UACGAAGGUGGCAAGCGUUGUUCGGAUUUACUGGGCGUACAGGGCGCGUAGGCGGUUGGCUAAGCCCUCCGUGAAAUCUCCAGGCUUAACCUGGAAAGUGCAGAGGGGACUGUUCAGCUAGAGGAUGGGAGAGGAGCGCGGAAUUCCCGGUGUAGCGGUGAAAUGCGUAGAGAUCGGGAGGAAGGCCGGUGGCGAAGGCGGCGCUCUGGAACAUUUCUGACGCUGAGGCGCGAAAGCGUGGGGAGCAAACAGG